rnacentral:rRNA from 1 species
AUUGAACGCUGGCGGCAGGCCUAACACAUGCAAGUCGAGCGGAGCGGCGGACGGGUGCGUAAUGCCUAGGAAUCUGCCUGGUAGUGGGGGAUAGCGUCCGGAAACGGGCGCUAAUACCGCAUACUAUCAGAUUAGCCUUGGUCGGAUUAGCUAGUUGGUGGGGGAAUGGCCUACCAAGGCGACGAUACGUACCUGGUCUGAGAGGAUGAUCCGCCACACUGGGACUGAGACAAGGCCCAGACUCCUACGGGAGGCAGCAGGGGGGAAUAUUGGACAAUGGGGGGAAGGCUGAGCCAGCAAUGCCGCGUGUGUGAAGAAGGCCUUAGGGUUGUAAAGCACUUUAAAGGGGGAGGCGUUACUCGCAGAAUAAGCACCGGCUAACUCUGUGCCAGCAGCCGCGGUAAUUC